GAUGAAGGGCGUGGCAAGCAACGAAAAGCUUCGGCGAGCCGCAUGCGGGCAUUGAACCGAAGAUUCCCGAAUGAGACUUCUCAGCAAAGCAGAAAUGCUAAGGAACCUAGGGAAUUGAAGCGUCUCAGUACCUAGAGGAAAAAAAAUCAAUCGAGAUUCCGUAAGUAUCAGCGAGAAAAAACGGAAGAGAGCAAACUGAAUCUCCAGUAGGAAUACUGGCAGAGAUGUGGUGUUAUAAGACUUAUUUUUAGACCCCAACCUCAACACUUAAAGUUUUCUGGAAAGGAAUACCACAGAGGGUGAUAGUCCCGUAGAGGAAUUGAGGAGGGCGUAUAAGUAUCUUGAGUAAUGUACAUUGGAAAUUGUGCACGAAUUUGGGAGACAUCAACUUCCAACUCUAAAUAUGUCUUGAGUCCGAUAGCUUAUGAGUACCGUGAGGGAAAGUUGAAAAGAACUCGUGAUAGAGAGAGAAAAGAACCUGAAAUCUAAUGGCUAUGGUGAGAUACGGCUCUACGGAGUUGUAUCGUACGUUUCGAAUAACGAGCCAGGGAGUUUAUCUUAGUGGCAAGAGUAAGUCCGUUUUAACGACGUACUCGAAGGGAAACCAAUUUCUCGCAGUUUACGAGGAGAGAGGUAUGAAAAUGCCUUGAGUCACUAGGGUAUGACCCGAAACCGGGCGAUCUAGUCGUGAGUAAGGUGAAGCCGCUCUAUGGGUGGUGGAGGCCUGAAGACGUGCUACGUGCAUGUGUUGUUCUAACUUGCGGCUAGGGGUGAAAAGCCAAUCGAGCCCGGUUAUAGCUGGUUCCUUCCGAAAUAGGCCUAAGUCUAGUCUCGGUGGAGAUAGUUGAAGAGGUAGAGCGACGGAUUUGGGGGCUCGGGGGAGAAAUCCCUCACCCCCUUGUCCAACUCCCAAUUUUUCAACGUCGAAGAAGCCGGGAAACGGGGAUGCUGGGGUAAACUUGCAUUCCUAGAGGGGAACAACCCCAACUAUGGUUAAGGUCCCUAAAUAUCAACUAAGUGUUAAAGGGUGAAAGGUGUUCAUCACCACAGACAGCGGGGAGGUUGGCUUAGAAGCAGCCAUCCUUUAAAGAAAGCGUAACAGCUCACCUGUCAAGGUCAUGUGCCCUGAAAAUGGACGGGACUAAGUUGAUUACCGAUACCAUAGUCCUCCAUACAUGAGUAUGGAGCGAGGUAGGAAGGUGUUCUGCGAGGGCAGAACUGCAUUCGAGAGAGUGUGGGGACCUCGUAGAAUUAAGAAUCCUGGUAGUAGUAGGAUCUAUUUAAAGUGAGAAUCUUUAAGAUCGAAAGGGCAAGGGUUUCUCAGCAAUGUAGUUCAGCUGAGAGUUAGUUAGUCCUAACCACAAUCCUAACAGGAACUGUGGGAAAGGGAAAACGGUUAAUAUUCCGUUACUAUAUGGGUACGCGCGGUAACGCAAGCUUUGUUUCUGACGCUUCGGAAUAGACUCACAAGUACCAUCGUGCUUGUCAAAAAGAACGAAUCAAUGGAGUAUCAUAACGAUGAGAAGUUGAUUAAAUCUUUGAGGAGCUCGCCUUUGCGAGUUGAGUUGAUAUCUGGAGCCAGUGAAAAAGGAACAGAGAAGGAUCCCAUAUAACUAUACCUAGAUCCGGCACUGGUGUCCCUGCGUGAGAAGCGCAAGAUCUGAGGGAGUAAUCUUGUUUAGGGAACUCGACAAAUUAGCCCCGUACCUUCGGUAUAAGGGGUCCCUGCGAUCGUUCUUGUAUAAGUGCGAUUACAGGGUUCAAUAACUCGGGCGAUCCGACUGUUUAACAAAAACAUAACAAACUGCGAGCCAGAAAUGGUAUGUAUAGUUUGUGACGUCUGCCCAGUGCUAGUACUUCAAACUCCGGUUCAACGGAGCUAAGAGCUAGUAAACGGCGGGAAUAACUAUAAUUCUCUUAAGGUAGCGAAAUGCCUUGUCGUUUAAUUGACGACCUGCAUGAAGGGCGUAACGAGAUCGCUAUUGUCCCAAACAAGAUCCCCCCGAACAUUACAUUCUGGUGCAAAGUCCAGAGACUUCCAGUGGGAAGCGGAGACCCCAUGGAACUUUACUGUAGCUUAUUGUUGCGAUGCGAGUUUUAUUGUGUAGCGUAGGUGGGAGUUGCUACGUUCUGGUCGCUAGAUCAGGAAUAGACAUCAAUGAAACACCACUCUAUAGAGCUUGCAUUGCUCACUUUUGAAAGAAAGGACAGCAGUUGGUGGACAGUUUGGCUGGGGCGGCACCCAGCUGAAAAGAUAUCAGUUGGGCCCAAAGGUAAGCUCAUCAGGUUCAGAAAUCCUGAGUAGAGUGCAAGAGCAAAAGCUUGCCUGACUGUGUUUCGAACAGUAAGAAACGCAGCACCGAAAGGUUGGUCUAGCGAACCCCUGUGUCCCAAUUGAUGGGGGCCAGGUAUGACAGAAAAGCUAUCCUGGGGAUAACUGAGUCGUCGCGCCUAAGAGCUCAAAUCGACGGCGCGGCUUGCUACUUCGUUGUCGGCUCAUCGCAUCCUGGGCGUGCAGCAGCGCCCAAGGGUACGGGUGUUCACCGGUUAAAGCGGUUCGUGAGCUGGGUUAAGAACGUUGCGAGACAGUUUGUAUGAUAUCUACUGGAAGUGCAAAAAGGUCUGAGAGGAAGGAGUAUUUAGUACGAGAGGAACGGUACCUCGACGCCUCUGGUGUAUCGGUUAUCUGAUAAGGUAGGCCGAGCAGCUACGCGUCAAGUCAUAAGUGCUGAAAGCAUCUAAGCACGAAAGAUACCUCGAAAAGAGAC
rnacentral:rRNA from 1 species